AAACGUCGUCUUGAUUCUGGAAAAUGUUUUGCAUAUGAAACUAGAACGACCUUUCUACGCCGGCUCCGUCCAACCCUCCGCCCUGCCACAUUUUUUUACACAGAAGAGAUGAGAGAGAAGGAGCGGACAACGAAGCGUUUCUGACAUGAUAGAAAUCAUAGACACUUACUAUACUAGUUAAUAAAUUAUCUCCAUUCCUGCGCGGGUAUAUGGAUGCCUGAUUCUUCCAUUUCUUUUUUCAUUUUUCAUGAUUUGGAUCUUGAAACGGGACGGGCGAAGUUGUAGUACUUGGCCAUUGAUUCGUGUGUCGAGAUCAUUCUAUUUCCUUCAUCAAUCAGUUUACAGAUUCUCUGGUAACUUUUGACAUACAUUUCUCUCAUUGGAGAAGUGCAUAUUGGUAGAUAGCAAUCACAAUGCGAAUCGCUUAGAGAUAUAGCUGCAGUCCAUUUUGUUGAAAAUGAAGACAACUCAGGCGUGGAUUCCCCAGGAUAUGCAGAUUUUGCCAGGGCCUCGUCAUCGUACUCAUAUGAAGAGGCCUAUGUGGAUUAUCAUUUUGGUUUCCUUCAUCAUUGUAUUCCUUUUCUGUGCAUACAUGUAUCCACCGCAAGGUAAUAGUGCCUGUUACAUUUUUUCUUCUAGAGGUUGUAAGGUCAUUACGGAUUGGCUUCCGCCUGCUCCUGCAAGAGAACUUACUGAUGAAGAGGUUGCUUCUCAUGUUGUCAUUCGAGAAAUUUUGAAUUCACCUAUUGUACCAUCAAAAACUCCAAAGAUAGCAUUUAUGUUUUUGACUCCUGGGUCUUUGCCAUUUGAGAAGCUUUGGGACAAAUUUUUCAAUGGUCAUGAAGACAAAUUCACUGUUUAUGUUCAUGCAUCUAAGGAGAAACCAACUCAUGUCAGCAUCCACUUCUUGAAUCGGGAUAUUCAUAGUAAUCAGGUGGUGUGGGGUAAAAUUACUAUGGUUGAUGCAGAGAGAAGAUUGCUGGCGAAUGCUUUACAGAAUCCGGAUAAUCACCAUUUUGUUUUGCUUUCCGAUAGUUGUGUGCCUUUGUAUAGUUUUGACUAUAUCUACAAGUAUCUGAUGCCUUCAAAUAUAAGUUUUGUAGAUAGCUUUAAGGAUCCCGGUCCACAUGGAAAUGGCAGGUAUUCAGAGCACAUGUUACCGGAAGUGGAGGAGAAGCACUUUAGAAAAGGUGCUCAGUGGUUCACCCUGAAACGGCAGCAUGCUUUAAUAGUUUUGGCUGACAAUCUUUAUUACAACAAAUUUCGCAAUUACUGCCAGGUAUUGCCUUUCAAAGCUCUGCUGAGGGGAUAUUUGCAAUUUUUGUUACGUUGCCCGGAAAAAUGUCAGGGGACUCCAUCUUAUUUAGUAGCCAGGUUUCGAAGGGCGCAAUUGCAUAGCUGAUGAGCACUACUUGCCGACCUUUUUCAAUAUUGUUGAUCCCACUGGAAUUGCAAAUUGGUCAGUAACACAUGUUGAUUGGUCUGAAAGAAAGUGGCAUCCAAAAUCGUAUAGAGCAGAGGAUCUUACUGAUGAGCUUUUGCAGAAUAUUACGUCAAUUGAUGUGAGUGUGCAUGUAACAAGUGACAAGAAGAAAGAAGUACAAAGGUGGCCUUGCGUGUGGAAUGGUUUGCAUCGGCCUUGUUACCUAUUUGCAAGAAAAUUCUCCCCCCAAGCUCUGGAUAAGUUGCUGUAUUUUUUCUCCAACUAUACGACAAAUUGAGUUAGGUUUUUAUGUUCACAUAUCUUUUUGAAGUUUCAGAUUCUUUGGCAUCAAUAACUUACCAAGUUUUUUGUUCAAAUCUGGUAUUUUAUUCAGUUAUAGGUUGUAAAUUCCUGUCUUGGGAAGGUUUUAAUGUGACCAACCACCAUUCCUGAGUGCAUCAAGCUGCUUGCCGAGUGCCUAAGGUGAUCUGGUAGGAAGCUAACAAGUUGGUGUUGCUUCCUCGGGGAUGGGAGACAUUAUCUCUUUUUUACUUUCCGUUUUUUAGGAUUUUUUUUUUUUUUUUUUUUUAAUUUUUGGUUAGUGUUAGCACAGACGCACAGAUGAUUUUGAAGGAAGAUUAUUUCCAUAUAUCUUGUUGUAAUAUUUUGUAAACAUGAGGAUCUGAACUUGCAUCUUGCAAUUUUUUACAAAUAUGUUAUCUUUUGAGUUUCAAAGUA